GAUCCCAUCUCCAUGCAUAGGAUACGCUUAUUUAUGCCCUCUCUGGAGAUCGCCUUCAUACUUAUACUCUAAUAUCUAAUCAGGCAUCACUUUGGCAAUUGCUCUGCUGGGCUCCCCCUCCACCUGUCCGGCCCGGCUUCUCUGGCUGGACCCCUUGUAUCCUUCCCAACUAUACUGUGGGUCCCUGCAGGCCAUUCAUGUGGGGCAUCGCUGAGGCCAGUUUGGGGGUGCCAACCAUCCUCAUGGAGACAAGCAACCAGGGGUCCUCAGGAUUCUAACUUUACUCUGGUCCAAACACAACUAAAAAA